UUGCAGGGGAUAGGUAAAUUUCUCAAGGUUAUAGGUUGGGGUUCUUAGAACAUUUUGUGGUGUGUGUUGGCCUAGAGCGACUCAGAAGUGUUAGUCACCUCACCUAAAGAAGCUAACCUCUCUGCUGAGCGCGACCGGCAUGUGGCGCAGGAUGAGCCUCAGGGCUUCUGGUAAGAGCCCGUCUGAGAAAGCCGGUCUGCGCUGUUCCUCGGUGGCGACCUUAAUUAUGAGAUGAGCUAAUGCUUUACUGACUUACCAUGGCGCAGCGGGCAGUGUGGCUCAUAAGCCACGAACCGGGAACUCCACUUUGUGGCACCGUGAGAUUCUCCAGACGGUAUCCAACUGUUGAAAAACGAGCCAGAGUCUUCAGUGGAGCAAGUUAUGUGCCUGUUCCCGAAGAUGGUCCCUUUCUUAAAGCACUGCUCUUUGAACUUAGAUUAUUGGAUGAUGAUAAAGACUUUGUUGAGAGUCGUGAUAGCUGUUCACGCAUCAAUAAAACAUCCAUUUAUGGAAUCCUGAUAGGAGGUGAAGAACUCUGGCCAGUUGUUGCUUUUCUGAAGAAUGACAUGAUAUAUGCCUGUGUUCCAGUAGUUGAACAAAGUCUGUCACCUUGACCACCAUUAAUUAUUGUUAGUGGAGUUUCACAAGGCUUUGAAUUUCUUUUUGGGUUACAGGAUUUUCUUUAUUCAGGUCAAAAAAAUGACUCUGAGCUACAUACAAAAUUGAGCCAGUUGCCUGACUUGCUUCUGCAAGCUUGUCCAUUUGGUACUUUACUAGAUGCCAACUUACAGAAUUCAUUAGAUAAUACCAACUUUGCAUCUGUGACUCAGCCACAAAAACAGCCAGCUUGGAAAACUGGAACGUACAAAGGAAAACCACAAGUUUCUAUUUCUAUCACUGAAAAGGUAAAAUCCAUGCAAUAUGAUAAACAGGGUGUCGCGGAUACAUGGCAAGUUGUUGGAACAGUGACUUGCAAGUGUGAUUUGGAAGGAAUCAUGCCAAAUGUUACCAUCAGCUUGAGUCUCCCCACCAAUGGAUCUCCACUUCAGGAUAUUCUAGUUCAUCCUUGUGUAACUUCUCUUGACUCUGCAAUUCUGACUUCUAGUAGUAUUGAUGCAAUGGAUGACUCUGCAUUUAGUGGGCCUUACAAAUUUCCAUUCACUCUACCUUUAGAGUCAUUCAGCUUAUGCUACUACACUUCCCAGGUCCCUGUCCCACCAAUUUUGGGUUUUUAUCAAAUGAAGGAGGAAGAAGUACAACUAAGAAUAACCAUUAAUUUAAAACUUCAUGAAAGUGUGAAAAAUAAUUUUGAAUUCUGUGAAGCCCAUAUACCUUUUUACAAUAGAGGUCCAAUUACACAUUUGGAAUACAAAACUAGUUUUGGCCAGCUCGAAGUAUUUCGAGAGAAAAGCUUAUUGAUCUGGAUUAUUGGCCAGAAGUUCCCAAAAUCAAUGGAAAUUAGUCUUUCUGGAACUGUAACUUUUGGAGCCAAGAGCCAUGAGAAGCAGCAAUUUGACCCAAUUUGUAUUGGACAAACAGCAUAUUUAAAGCUUCAUUUUAGGAUCUUAGAUUACACACUUACUGGAUGUUAUGCAGAUCAGCAUUCAGUUCAAGUUUUUGCAUCAGGAAAACCAAAAAUAAGUGCACACCGGAAACUAAUUUCUUCUGAUUAUUACAUCUGGAAUUCGAAAGCCCCUGCUCCAGUAACAUAUGGAUCAUUAUUAUUGUAAUAGUCUCAUGUUUAAAUGGGAUUAUAUAAUGAUAACAGUUUAAAGAAAAUCAUAAUCUUAUAUUUUUGAUGUGGAUGCAUAUAACCUGUGAGUGAAAAAUCACUCAAUGAUUUAAUUGUAAAAGUAGUCUCAUGUACUGUUUGUAGUCUGGUAGAGCUUGAAAGGACGUUUUAAAAGCUAAUGUCUCCAAUUUUGUUAACCUUCGAUUUUAUGCCAGUAUAAUUCUGAACAUAGAAAAAUAGUGAUUCACUUGGGCUCAUUUUAGACUAGUCCUGGGUCACCCUGCCACACUUGUUUUCUAGUGUUUCUGUGGCAGAUAUUGCUAAUCAAUUACAGCCCUUUUCUGUACUGAGCCUUGGAUAAAGGGUCAGGCUCCUUUUCAGUUCAGAGAUUCAGGCAGCCACUCCCAGUGGGUUGUAGAUAACAUGCAAGAUAAAAACUAUUUUCUCUUCCAAAUCUAAGUACUAAGCUCCUAGUAUAAGGUGUUGUUACAGAAUACCAGAGACCAUGUUAGAAACAACUACAUCUCUUCAAAAAACAGCCAACAGAGACAAAGGAAAAGUGUUUAAAUAGUAGCCUGUUCUUCUUAAUCAGAACUAUCCUAUUGACUAAUAAAGAAUCUGCAUAAUUCUA